CUCGUCCGCUCGACAGAGACUGCGCGGAGGAUGAGGGAUGUUGGCAUGCGGGUGGUGCCUUUGCUCUCCGGGUGUCCCGAUGGGAGUUUAGAGAAGAGCCGUUCACGAAGGGGAGGUGGAAUGCGAGGUGUCCAGUGUAGGCUUCCAAGGUCUCCGUCGGCUAGACGGAUCCUUAGCUUUCCCGUCUCUGGCCUCAAUCCCCUCUGUCCCUACCACCGCCCUCCUCCUUCCCCCUACUCAAGAUACGUGCGCAACGACCAGUAGCUAGCUCUCGCUAGGUCGAUCCUACCCUGCUCGUCCUCGUCCAUUCCUCUGAUCAAGUUGUGCAUGUGGAAAAACUACGUCUUUUUGAUGGGUGCUUCGUGGGAUCACGUGCGAACUGAUGGGGUUCAUGGAGACAGCCACCGGGAUGGGCGGGGGGUUUCAGGCGCUAAUGGGACGAAAGUCGAUGGACUUCGAGCGGGCGGGCACCGCCGGCGGGCACAAGCUCUGCAAGGAGCUUGACCUCUCUGCCUUCAUAUUUCUUCUGAGCCUUUUUGUUUGGUUAAUUUGGUAGAUCUUUGCACGGAUUCUGUUGUAAAGCUGUGAGCUUUGUUGUGUUUUUUGUGCUUGGAUCCAGGUGUUUUUCUGCAUUGGAACCUGUCGUGGUUUUGUGAACUGGCGGUGAACUAACUGCUUUCACAUGUUUACAGUUACGAUUUCUCUGUAAUUUCAAUCAGAAAGUGUUUAUCUACACAUGCGGUAAUUCGUAGCUGUCAAUAGAUGUUGAGAGCCAAAUCUUCAUUUCAGAUUGUUCAAGGAAGGAUAAAAAUAUUACCAGUUUUGGAAGUUACUUGAAGUAAACUCAGAGUACCACAACCAAAAGUUUGUGAGAAAUCAAGAAAAGUUAUCCUCGUUUAUUCUCUUGUACAUUUCUAAAUGGCAUCUUGAUGGCAGUCGGUUGAGUGGAACGAUCAAACCAUCAUUGGGAAAAAUACCUAAACAACAACAAUCUCUCGGGUCAGAUACCAGACAUCCUUAAAAACAAAGCUGGACUUGAUUUGAGGACUGAGGGGAACAAAUUUGAAUGAGUCUGGCAAGGAGGAAAUACACUGAUGCUAAUUUCAACCUGAUGCUGCAUCCAUGCAUACCGAAGACACUAUUUGAUGAUGAAGGGAGAUGAGUGAAGACAAUAUUGAUGUUUGAUGUAUGCUAGCUGAAGAGGCGAUUCCAAGUGCUAAAGAAUGUAGAUCAUGUGAUCGGAUGGUUCGGUGAAUAUAUUAUGUACACUAGAGCAUCAUCACCGGGCUCUUGCAGAGAAGGUGUUAGAAGUUGAAGAAUGAAGUUUAACUCAUUGGAUGUUACAGUGUGAAGAGGAAGUGCACCGGAAACUUGCACCGGGAUGUUUUACAUAAAGAAGAAGUGGCGC